rnacentral:rRNA from 1 species
CAGUAGCCGCGGGAAUACGGAGGGAGCUAGCGUUGUUCGGAAUUACUGGGCGUAAAGCGCGCGUAGGCGGUUACUCAAGUCAGAGGUGAAAGCCCGGGGCUCAGCCCCGGAACUGCCUUUGAAACUAGGUGACUAGAAUCUUGGAGAGGUCAGUGGAAUUCCGGGUGUAGAGGUGAAAUUCGUAGAUAUUCGGAAGAACACCAGUGGCGAAGGCGACUGACUGGACAAGUAUUGACGCUGAGGUGCGAAAGCGUGGGGAGCAAACAGGAUUAGAUACCCGAGUAGUCCCUGUCUCUUAUAC